CAGUCGCCACGGUAACACGUAGGUGGCAAGCGUUGUCCGGAAUUAUUGGGCGUAAAGGGCUCGCAGGCGGUUUCUUAAGUCUGAUGUGAAAGCCCCCGGCUCAACCGGGGAGGGUCAUUGGAAACUGGGAAACUUGAGUGCAGAAGAGGAGAGUGGAAUUCCACGUGUAGCGGUGAAAUGCGUAGAGAUGUGGAGGAACACCAGUGGCGAAGGCGACUCUCUAGUCUGUAACUGACGCUGAGGAGCGAAAGCGUGGGGAGCGAACAGGAUUAGAUACCCGAGUAGUCCCUGUCUCUUAUAC
rnacentral:rRNA from 1 species